rnacentral:lncRNA from 1 species
AAUGAUUCUUUGAUAAGUGUACUGAUCAAAUUACUUGAUGUUGCUUAUGAGUAAUACAAACAUAACUAGGCUUGUACUUUAAUCGACUAGAUUAUGUGCAUGGUGCCAAAAGUGUGGUACAAAAUCGUGACUAACACAAGACUAUGUGCGCAUACAUACAUACAUACAUACAUAUAUAUAUGUAUAUAUAUAGCUAAUGGCGUAGACUUGAAGAUGGUGAAGUU